rnacentral:lncRNA from 1 species
AUGGGUCCCUAUGGGUCCCUAAUGGCCCCUAUGUGUCUCUAUGGCUCCCUAUGGCCCCUAAUGGUCCCUAUGGGUCCCUAUGGGGUCCCUAUGUGUCCCUAUGUGUCUCUAUGGGUCCCUAUGCGUCUCUAUGGGGUUCCUAUGGCUCCCUUCAGGUCUUUAUGGGUCUCUAUGGGUCUCAAUGUGUCUCUAUGGGUCCCUAUGUGUCCCUAUAGGUCCCUAUGGGUCCCUACGGUCUCUAUGGGGUCCCUACGUGUCCCUAUGGUCUCUAUGGGUCCCUAUGGGUCUCUUUGUCUCCCUAUGGUCCCUAUGUGUCUCUAUUGGGCCUCUAUGGGUCCCUAUGGGUCUCUAUGGGUCCCUAUGGGGUCUCUAUGGGUCCCAAUGUCUCCCUAUGGAUCCCUAUGGGUCCCUAUGGUCCCUAUGUGUCUCUAUGGGUCCCUAUGGAUCCCUAAUGGUCCCUAUGUGUCCCUAUGUGUUCCUAUGGGUCCCUAUGGUCUUUAUGGGUCUCAAUGUGUUCCUAUGGGUCCCUAUGGGGUCCCUAUGUGUCCCUAUGGGUCUCUAUGGGUCCCUAUGUUGUCUAUCGGUCCCUAUGAGUCCCUAUGGGUCCCUAUGGGUCUCUAUGGGUCCCUAUGUGUUCCUAUGGGUCCCUAUGGGUCUCUAUGGGGUUCCUAUGGGUCCCUUCAGGUCUUUAUGGGUCCCUAUGGGUCUCAAUGUGUUCCUAUGGGUCCCUAUGGGGUCCCUAUGUGUCCCUAUGGGUCUCUAUGGGUCCCUAUGGGGUUCCUAUGGGUCCCUAUGGGUCUCUAUGGGUCCCUAUGGGUCUCUAUGGGUCUCUGUGUCUCGCUAUGUGUCCCUAUGUGUCUCUAUGGGUCCCUAUGUUGUCUAUCGGUCCCUAUGAGUCCCUAUGGGUCCCUAUGUGUCUCUAUGGGUCCCUAUGGGUCCCUUCAGGUCUCUAUGGGUCUCAAUGUGUCCCUAUGGGGCCUCUAUGGGUCCCUAUGGGUCUCUAUGGGGUCCCUAUGUGUUCCUAUGUGUCUCUAUAGGUCCCUCUGGUCUCUAUGGGUCUCUUCGUCUCCCUACGGGUCUCUUUGUCUCCCUAUGGGUCCCUAUGUGUCUCUAUGGGUCCCUAUGGUCUCUAUGGGGUUCCUAUGGGUCCCUUCAGGUCUCUGUGUGUCCCUAUGGUCCCCACGUGUCCCCACGUGUCCCCACGGCUCACCGUGCAGCACCCAGAUGCACUCCCCCAUGACGGAGUAA